GAAAGAAGUAUGAUUACAACAAUUACUGCUAAUUAUUGUUAUUUUUGGUUUAAUUCCAGGAUUCUUUCG
rnacentral:tRNA from 1 species